UUCUCAGAGAUGUGCACGUUGUUUGAUGUUAUUUUGGUUGACUCUAAGAAAAAUGUUGCAAAACUAUGGAUUUUGUUUCUUGUGUACUGACAUAACUAUCUUUGUGUUUAGUUGUUAAGCAGGCAAUAGCUUUCUGGAGUCAGUCUGUCAGGCCUCCUAUCAACUGCAUCCUGAGAUCUUGGGCUGAUUGAAGACAUUUUGCUGCUGGGGACAAUGAGCAGGAUAGAUUUCUUUUCUCAUCACACAAAUGGAAAGGUAACCAAAUAAUAUCGUGGACAUUUGGGAACUUUUGAACCAAGUCAAGACCUUCAAUCAAAUUUGACCUCAAAAUGUGAAAAGGCAAAAAUAGGCCUAUUUUACCCAAAUAACUUUUGAGAUGACAGAACUGAUCUGAAGUGGCAUUACCUUUGAUUACCGAAUCCAUAUAAGGUAAGAUCUGGACAGUAGAUGAACUUCGGAAUCAACCGCUCUUUCCUUUGUAAUCUUUGGAUUGUUGAAAAUUUUGAAUCAGAAGAUGUUGGCCACCAAAAAUCUUUGCCAUUGCUAUUUCUACUAUUUUUCUUCUUUUGCAAUUCUUCUAUUUCUCAUAC